rnacentral:lncRNA from 1 species
ACAAGGUCAUUUCCCUUAUCUACAGAAAUCGAAACGACAAGUCCUGAGAGCGCAACGUAAACAGAUAAAAACCAAGCUAGCUCAACCCUCGAACACGAGUAAAGUAUAAAUUACUCCCUCUAGUUUUAUAAAAUGAAUUAAAUGGUCAUUGUAGUUUUAAUAAUUAAUUGGUUCUUCAUGUUUGCUUUAAUAUUAUUUCAAAAAUGUUUUCUUUUC